GCACCACAAGAGGUGGGACCUGCGGUUCAAUUGGAUUCAACGCCGGAAAACUCACCAGGGGCGACAGUUGGAUGAAAGCCAGGUUGACGACCUUGCCCGACUAGCUGAGAGGUGGUGCAUGGCCAUCGUCAGCUCGUACCGUGAGGCGUCCUGUCAAGUCAGGCAACGAGCGAGAUCCUCGCCCUUAGUUGCCAUCAGUGGGAAAGCUGGGCACUCUAGGGGGACCGCUGGCGCUAAGCCAGAGGAAGGAGAGGGCGACGGUAGGUCAGUAUGCCCCGAAUCCCCUGGGCUACACGCGGGUCACAAUGCGCAGGACAAUGAGAUGCAACCCCGUGAGGGGAAGCCAAACCCAUAAACCUGCGCUCGGUUCGGAUCGAGGGCUGUAACUCGCCCUCGUGAAGCUGGAAUCCGUAGUAAUCGCGCUUCAACACAGCGCGGUGAAUACGUCCCUGCUCCUUGCACACACCGCCCGUCGAGCCACUCGAGUGGGGUUUGGACGAGGUCAGCUCAAGUUGGGUUGCUCGAAUCCGAGUUCUGCAAGAGGGGCU
rnacentral:rRNA from 1 species